rnacentral:lncRNA from 1 species
UGUGCCUACUUGGGUUCUGAGAGUCUUUGGGGAAUCUUUAGAUUGGUGUUAGGCAUCAGAAUAUCUACCAGGACUCUCUCAAUUCUCUGCUCUGGAGUUUGCUAUCCACUGUUUCCUCAUCUAGAAAGCAGGAUUAUAGCAAAGUGAUUUUUAGUUAGGAUUAACAGUCCCUGUCUUCCAUAAUGUAAAAAUUCCGUCAACUUUUGUCUCCUACUGGGGAAGGUUAAGUUUAUACAGGACAAGAUGGCAGCUGCUGGGUCCUAUGCUGUGUUGCUUUCCCCAGCUCAGACUGUUUUUUGGGCUUCUGAUACUUUCAGCAUGCCCUGGGUCCUUUUUUGUCCUUCUGUCUGAUGUGAUAACAGGCUGCCUGAGUCCUGGUCAUUGCUUAUGCUGGCAAAGGAAAAAUUGCAAAGGUGUUGGGUCAGCCUUAGGUGACGCAGUGGGGAGAGCAUGAAGUAGGCAGGGAACUGAGGAAGCUGUCAGCAGAUUCGCUUCCUAAGGCCCCGAUUUCCAAGGAUUUCCCUAUUAAUGAGCAUAAUGGUUUCUUGGACAUGUUGUAAGCAGUGCCAGGUGGGCUGAUCACAUGCUGGCUUCUUGUCCUCUGCAGGAGUGUCACAUGUCUGCUGUUCGGGUGUGUGAGCGGUGGGUGUCCUUGGGUCCAGAUUCAUGAUGGUAUUUGUGGACACCAGAGUGGCACAGAACCGAGAUUGAGGCUGCCAGAUGAAGCAUCACCAGAGCUCCUUCAUUCUGCACAAGAGAAGAGAGGGAAAGGCUUAGGGUCCAGACAUUGGAGAUGCUGUAGCUGGGCUCUGGAUUGUACCAACAGGGCCAACAGAGGGCAAUGGGCAAGGCCCAGUCCCAUGUCCCUCCACCAUACCUGGCACGGCUUUAUAAUAACAAAGAAUUUUUCUCUUAGAUUUGUAGCCCUUUUCGUCAUCAUCCUCUCCUCCCACCCAUUCAAUAAACAAACUUGCUCAACCUGCCUUUUAAAUCAGUAA